rnacentral:rRNA from 1 species
UACAGGGGGGGGCAAGCGUUGUUCGGAAUUACUGGGCGUAAAGGGUCUGUAGGUGGCCAACUAAGUCAGACGUGAAAUCCCUCAGCUUAACUGGGGAACUGCGUCUGAUACUGGAUGGCUUGAGUGUGGGAGAGGAAUGCGGAAUUCCAGGUGUAGCGGUGAAAUGCGUAGAUAUCUGGAGGAACACCGGUGGCGAAGGCGGCAUUCUGGACCAUAACUGACACUGAGAGACGAAAGCUAGGGGAGCGAAUGGG